UGGUUGAUCCUGCCAGUAGUCAUAUGCUUGUCUCAGAGAUUAAGCCAUGCAUGUCUAAGUACACACUUUGGUAAAGUGAAACCGCGAGUGGCUCAUUAAAUCAGCUACAAUUUAUUAGAUCGUACACUGUUACUUGGAUAACUGUGGGAAUUCUAGAGCUAAUACAUGCCGAGAGUCUCUGCUCUUCGGGGCAGAGCGCAGUUAUUAGACCAAAACCAGCCGUAUUCUUCGGGGCACGCUCUUUUGGUGACUCUGGAUAACCUUCAGCCGAUCGCAUGGCCUCGUGCCGGCGACGUAUCUUUCAAGUGUCUGCCCUAUCAACUUUCGAUGGUACGUGAUAUGCCUACCAUGGUGAUAACGGGUAACGGGGAAUCAGGGUUCGAUUCCGGAGAGGGAGCCUGAGAAAUGGCUACCACAUCCAAGGAUGGCAGCAGGCGCGCAAAUUACCCACUCCCAGCUUGGGGAGGUAGUGACGAAAAAUAACAAUGCGGGACUCUAAGAGGCCCCGUAAUUGGAAUGAGUACACCUUAAAUCGUUUAACGAGUAUCAAUUGGAGGGCAAGUCUGGUGCCAGCAGCCGCGGUAAUUCCAGCUCCAAUAGCGUAUAUAAAAGUUGCUGCAGUUAAAAAGCUCGUAGUUGGAUCUGGGGCUUGAGGUCGCUGUCUAUCGUUUCGGCGAUGACGGUGAUGCUCAGCUCUGCUUGCCGGUGACUGUUGCGGUGUUCUUCACUGAGCGCUGUAGCAGCACGGCACGUUUACUUUGAAAAAAUUAGAGUGCUCAAAGCGUGCUUGUCGCUUGAAUAAUGUUGCAUGGAAUAAUGGAAUAGGACCUCGGUUCUAUUUUGUUGGUUUUCGGAGCUUGAGGUAAUGAUUAAGAGGGACGAACGGGGGCAUUCGUAUUGCGGUGUUAGAGGUGAAAUUCUUGGAUCGCCGCAAGACGGACUACUGCGAAAGCAUUUGCCAAGAACGCUUUCAUUAAUUAAGAACGAAAGUCAGAGGUUCGAAGACGAUCAGACACCGUCCUAGUUCUGACCAUAAACGAUGCCGACCAGCGAUCCGUAGUGGUUGCUUUAUGGACCCUACGGGCAGCCUCCGGGAAACCAAAGUACUUGGGUUCCGGGGGAAGUAUGGUUGCAAAGCUGAAACUUAAAGGAAUUGACGGAAGGGCACACCAGGAGUGGAGCCUGCGGCUUAAUUUGACCCAACACGGGAAAACUCACCCGGUCCGGACACCGUAAGGAUUGACAGACUGAUAGCUCUUUCUUGAUUCGGUGGAUGGUUGUGCAUGGCCGUUCUUAGUUGGUGGAGUGAUUUGUCUGGUUAAUUCCGAUAACGAACGAGACUCUAGCCUGCUAAGUAGAG
rnacentral:rRNA from 1 species